AGGAACGAGUGGCAAACAGGUGUCAGGGUGCAAAAGCAUCAACUUUUACGAGAAUUAAUGCGACAAUCUGUUACUAAAAUGCAAAUUUUUAGCUUUGUUGUGUUACUGUUCACAUUUAUCUUUCGUGUCAAUUGAUUUGAUAUGAACUCGAGGCGAUGCUUUGUUAAAUACGUUCAAUCGUGCGUUGGAUGGCGAUCGUGAGAAUAUUCCUGUUGUAUUCUUUCUAAACACUGGCAUGUUUAGUUGUAAAUAGCAACGAUCGAUGAUCUGUUACACCCUUGUCCGCCACAUGAUCUUGUGAAACAAGUCUGUGGGGGACUGUAUGAAAAAAAAUUAAAGCUUAAAAGUUGAAGCGUUGUCAAAUUAUGGAUGUUUACAAUGUGGUCGUUGUUAGAUUAUUUUCGAGCGUUGUUAUGUGCUCGCAACGGCCGUUCAUCGCAUCGUGUGAAGAAGUAUGAGUCUUAGAAAAUUUUUAAACAUGGCCCUGGAACAUCGCUGUAAAAGAUAAGUAUUUCUCAUUUCCUUUUGCACAGUACUGCCUUUGAUUGAUUUUUAUACCCGAUUAUAUUUUUGACAAAUUUUCGUUGGUAGUUGUAUUUGCAAAAUGACAGCGCAAGUUUAAAAGCGCUGAAUAAUGUUUCUAGCGCGUGUGACACGAAAUCCAUUUCAGAACAAAAGCUUUAACCUAUUUUUCGGUUGAUAUCAGUUGUAUUUUCUGCUACUGGCUUGUUUGUAAUGAUAUAAUUAAAUAUUUAGUAUGAUUCAUGACCAUUUGCACAAAUGUACAAUGUAACAAGAAGCGGGAUUUUUCGACGCUUUAAACGGCACUUUCUGUAGUGUUUUAAACCUGGAUUUUUGUUUGUUACAAGUUUUGUUCUUAGGCCUUCGGAUUCUGCUUUCAUAAUUCCUUUACUUGAUGCAAAAAAGAAAUUUCUAGUGCAAUUUAUUUGAGAGUAAUCAAUGUGCAAUGGGAAUUAUGCAAUGAAAUAAAAUAGUCUUUCCGAAAAUGUGUAAAACAAGCAAACAAACAAGUGUGACGAGACACACCUUUAUGUAGCAAUAGUUUGUUUAUUACUGUAAAGUCCCGUGCUAUUUCGUCCUGUUUUUAGGCUGUUUCAAGUUCAAAAAUUCGGUAGUUUUUCACCGACCCUUCGUCGUAGGUGUCUGGAAUGUUUCGAAUGGAAAGAGUUUUGUGGGAAGGUCAAGAUGUACAUUUCAUUGGCGUUUGCGUGCGUGCGUAAUGGAGUGUAAACAAACGAAUCUUUGAGGAUUGUUGUGUUUAUUGUCGUUUCCUCGUUCACUACAACUACAUACAAAGUAUUGUUGGCUAUGUUCAGAUGAACCUCUUACCGGGCUAGUUUCAGUAGCCAUCGGCGGAACUCGAACAAGGCAAACAAUACAAAGGGAAGGCAUGGCCACAAAGAGAUGGAGACUCUGGAUGGAGUUGGACAACUUGUUCAUUCAGUUCAUUCACAACAUCAUCAAAGUUGGUGUUAGGAACAAGAUCCAUUUCAUCAAAAGUGUCAUCAUCUUCAUUAAUUUUGCCACUUGUUUGUUCUUCAAAGUUUUCAGUGUCGUCAUCCUGAUCAUGCAGUAGGGCUGAGUUUGCGGAGGUUGCCAGGCUGGUCACUACAUCUGUUAGGUGGACUUGACAUAUGUAGCAGAAAGAACGCCCAGCCAGACAUUCAUCAUGAAAAGAAUGCCAGCACCCUUCAAAUAUGUGCCAAGGUUGUUCUCCAGUCAAGGUACAAGACAGAGAGUCGCAUCUCCUGUCAACAUCUGGUCUCUGGUGACAUUGAAACCCAAGGGGAAGGAAAUAACUCUUCACAACCUUUUCAGCAAAAAGAGAUGGCAUGAUGUAGUUAUUUAAAUCUUUCCUCUGACCCUUCUUUCUGGGAAGAUGUUGAGCCUCAUUAGGAUUAUUAGCUAUCCUGGUAAACAUAUCAACAAGAACACGUGCAACUUUUGUUCAUCUGUUGCUGAAUCAGUUGUGUGCCUCCUGAUGACUGAGUGGACAUAUUCAACUGUUGACUCAUCUAUGAUGUUAAGAUGCAGUGGGAUAUAAUUAAGAACCAAGUCCUCAUCUGAAUUUAAAUCAAUGUGGAGUGGCCCAAUCAUUGGGAUGAUGGAUAGCAGAGGAGAAACAGCCGCAUUGUUGUUUAGAAUUGAAGACAACAUCUAAAGCAGUCUGAUAGUUUGCUUUGCUUUUAAGAGGCAGUUUAAGAAAAUCAAUCAGAUGCACAUUGUCAAACUUCCGUAGAUGUCGUACAUCAGCUGAUGCACAGUAAUCAUGUGCCUCAAGGCGUUCACGCUCCAUAAGUGGAUAAAAAAACUCAGCUGUGAUCUCAGGCAUACAGGAAGCAUAGGGUGGACUUCCUCUGGUUUUCUCAUUUGUAUGGCACUAAGACUUGGGAAUAUCUUAACAAUUAUGGUACACAUGUUAUUAGCAGUACUGGUUUGUAGAUUUGUAGGUCUCCGACUUGUGUGUAUGGUGGUGUAGUCAUCAAUCAUUAGCAGUAAAAGUUGUUUUUUCUGAAUUGCUGUGUUGAUAGCCUCAUUGACACUCAAUUCAUUAGAUAAUGCAUAAUGUGACAAAGCCCUAUCUAUAGUUCUGCUGCAGCAUGCUGUACCUAUUGUCCUCUGUGUGUCUAUGCCAUCAUUAGUGCAGUGCGAAAAUUUUAACAAAAUGCCAUUAUCAACUUGAAAAAAGUCACACUUUUGUGACAGACCAAAACAAAGCUGCAAUACUAAAGAUACACAACGUUUCUCAUUCAGGCUUUUUCUCUGCUUUGUGUGCCGUGAACUAGUCAUGCAUGACAACAGUAGCUGAAAUAUGUUGUGUGCUCCUGCCCUAGCACAAAAUUCUUGAAAUGCAUCCGGAUUGUAUGUGGGAAGAUUUUGUGCAGUUUUAAAAUUUUUGUAGUAUGCAUUCUGAAGGCGUAUAACCUCUUUAACUACCUGAGCACCUGGAAGAGAUAAAAUAGUAUUAGACAAUGAAAUGUAUGUGGACCAUUUUUUUACGUUGUAAAUUAACCUAAAACU